CAGGCUCUGACUGAAGACCCCCGGUUUGCUGUAGCCGUUGGUUUCAAACAGGAGCCCAGAGGAAGCGUCUCCCGGUCUGUUGGUGCUCCCGUGCCAUGGAACAGCCAAUUCGUGUGGGAGCGACACCA
ensembl:snoRNA